GAGAGGAGGGAGCGAGGGGGGUCUUGAUGGGGCCAGAGGAGCAGAUUCCUCGGUGCUGAGUCAGCAGCCGCCCUGACUCAGAAACUCGAAUUGUCCAUCCAGUGACCCCUCAGGCCUCACGGUCUCUAUUAGAACAUGAAAGGUGUCCAGCAGAUCCUUGGGGCCAUUCAGUUUUCAUCCCGUAUGUGUGGGGCUGUGCGUGCGAACUUACACACAUGCACAAUCACACACACACGUGCCCUGUCUCACCCCUACACACUCGCCGCUCAGACAGCAAGUCAGUGUCAUUAAAAUGCCAGGCCAUGCCUCUGCCUCCUCGCAGAGCCCACGUGACCCUGCUGAUCAGAGGAGGCCACGAGUCCGGAGGGUGAGCCCUGGCAUCGGUCCACUGCUCUCCAUGGCAACCUGGCUGAUACCUGUUUAUAUAUUACAUCUAGUGAAUUCUGAAGUGUGUCACUGACAGAACAUGGGCUAUAAGAAGAAAGAACACCCUUGCAAACCUGAUCAAAUCUCCCAUGCGGUGCUGAAGUCGCUGGUGGACAGAGGGAUUAACAUCCAGCAGGUCUGAAAGCCAGUGUCCCCACGGGCCCGGCAGGUAACAAAGGAGUGAAGAGGGCUAGACCAGCCACCAGCCCGCACUUCCUGAGGGAUUCCCGCCCGCCAGACGCGGUCCAAGCCGGUUCCGGACGCUGACUCAGCCAGUCCCCCAGCCCUGCGCACCAGGAGGGACACACUCGACACAUCUGCUGCUGGUUUGGGUCCACAGUGUGACCUCUGACUCCCUGAGAGAAAAUCCUUCUGGAAAGUCGUGAGCAUCAAGUAACGGUGGACAACACACACACGGGGUCAGGCACUGUGCGAAGUGUGCUAACCCAUCAUGCUGACAGCAGCCCCGUGAGGGUUGCCUUGAUUUCUUGCUCACUGUGUGUCUCCCGUCACGAGGGCAAGGUCUGGGCUGCAUCCCCAGGGCCUGGCACGGUGCCCGGCACAGAGCAUGGGCUCCCCAGCGCCUGUGGGAUGGAUGACAUGCACGCGGAGAAAUCCCCAAGGUCACCCCCAACCUGCUCACUUGACAGAGGACGUGUGCCCUGCCCCCCCGGCUGCACUGCCACGUGGACACACGUCCUGGGCACACAUGACACAGGUCAUCAUUGACCCUCCAGCAAGAACGAAGCCGUCUGUGCCCAAGACUCAGCUCAGACCCCAGAUCCCACUUCAUGUUCUGAGGAGUCAUGAUGAGCCACGGGCUGUGGUGGAAUAAAAACCUGGGAGAUUUGCUUCCCUUGUCACGUCCUGAGCUCAAACCAGGUGGCGUCCUUAGGAGCUGACAGUCGGUGGCGUUGAAGAAAAGCGUCACGGUCACAGGAGGAAGCUUUUCUCCCAGGAGGGGACUGUGGGGAGUUUGUGCCCAUGAGGUCUUGGCGGCGGAGUUGCUUUCCUAAAAUUCUACCAGCCUGUGGCUUUAACUGCAGAGGCGCCUGGAGACAGAUGGGCGUGCAGGUCCCGGGUCUGGGGCUCUGGCCUUUAGCACCGUGUCCUCUGGAGAGUGUCUUGGAUGAAGUCUCCUUUUUCUUCAUCUUUGCAACUGGAAGAAAGGUCCUGUCCUGACUGCUCCCAGGUGUGUUGGGGAAGCAUUCAAACUGACGGACACCAGGACUCUGCAGUGUGUGUAGCUGCGCUACACGUGCAAAUUAUUCCGGAAUUCUCAUGUUUCUAGUCCAUGACAUGUCUUCAUGCCCGUUUCUAGUCCAUGCUGCAAAGGCAGUUUCCUCUGUCGCCAAGGCUGCUACAGUACUGUUGACUAAACUCUGCACUUUUUUCUGAUUUCACUAGUUUUCCCUGAAGUCCUUUUUCUGUUCUACAGUCCCAUUCAGGACACCAAUUAUAUACACGAUGCGGUUCAAACUAACUUUUUUGAACGUGACCGAACAUUAGAAAUACAUUUUAUAUCACAAGACAAUGUACAUCUUUACGUAAUCCGAAUAUUAAGAACACGCUACUUAGUUUUGCCAACUGGGAUAGACUCUGGUAUUUUCUAUUCUAUUCUGUUCCAUUCCAUUCCACUGUAUUCCAAUUCAUCCCAUCCCAUCUCAUUCUAUUCCAACAUAAAAAUACUCUUCAAGAUGUGAUAAAAUGAACAACUCAAAAACGGAUCCGUUAGUACCUGCAGUUUAAAACCUCAUCUUGCAUAAGGAGGCGCUCUCAUUGAUUUUGCACCAGUCAUAAUUCUGUUUAUCUCCUGGACCUACUGUGAGCUCCUUGCACUACGGGAUGGUGUCUUUCUUCUUCCUUGGGCCCUGACGCCACACACUGUUCCUAGUUCAGUGUUUCAUAAAUGCCCACUGCCUGGA